rnacentral:ncRNA from 2 species
AAACAGAUACACAACUGGCGGAGACAGCAUUGGCAGAAGAUGCUGUGUAGGAGCACCUACAGGGAGUGUAUGACGAGUUAGAAGCCGACCGCCUGGGCCCAUGAA